rnacentral:rRNA from 1 species
CCUACGGGAGGCAGCAGUGAGGAAUAUUGGUCAAUGGGCGCGAGCCUGAACCAGCCAAGCAGCGUGAAGGAUGACUGCCCUGCGGGUUGUAAACCUCUUUUAUAAAGGAACAAAGUGAGGCACGUGUCCCUUUUUGUAUGUACUUUAAGAAUAAGGAUCGGCUAACUCCGUGCCAGCAGCCGCGGUAAUACGGAGGAUCCGAGCGUUAUCCGGAUUUAUUGGGUUUAAAGGGGGCGGAGAUGGGUUGUUAAGUCAGUUGUUAAAGUUUGCGGCUCAACCGUAAGAUUGCAAUUGAUACUGGCAGUCUUGAGUACGGUUGAGGUAGGCGGAAUUCGUGGUGUAGCGGUGAAAUGCUUAGAUAUCGCGAAGAACUCCGAUUGCGAAGGCAGCUUACUAGACUGCCACUGACAUUGAUGCACGAAAGUGUGGGUAUCAAACAGGAUUAGAUACCCUUGUAGUC